AUACGGAGGAUGCAAGCGUUAUCCGGAUUUAUUGGGUUUAAAGGGUGCGUAGGCGGAUGAUUAAGCGCGAGGUGAAAUGCCACUGCUCAACAGUGGAACUGCCUCGCGAACUGGUUGUCUUGAAUGCUCCUGCCGUGGGAGGACUGUGUGGUGUAGCGGUGAAAUGCAUAGAGAUCACACAGAACACCGAUUGCGAAGGCAUCUCACGAAGGGGUGAUUGACGCUGAGGCACGAAAGCGUGGGGAUCAAACAGGAUUAGAUACCCUGGUAGUCCACGCAGUAAACGAUGAUAACUAACCGCUGGGUCGUAGUGAUUCAGUGGCCAAGCGAAAGCGAUAAGUUAUCCACCUGGGGAGUACGACCGCAAGGUUGAAACUCAAAGGAAUUGACGGGG
rnacentral:rRNA from 1 species